rnacentral:tRNA from 1 species
GCCCUCCUGAUGAAAUUGGUAGACAUGUCAGUUUUAGGCACUGAUGCCGUGAGGUGUGCCGGUUCGAGUCCGGCGGAGGGCA